rnacentral:piRNA from 1 species
UAGGUAAACUAGAGAUUCCUGUGUGGACA